AGCGAUCAGUGCGCAGACGCCCCAGGGCUGGCGUCGCGGGUGAAGGCGCGCCCAGGCUCAGGUUGCGCGGCGAUUGGUUCGGAGAUGACACGUGACCUCGGCGGUGCCACGCGAGCGUGCGCAGAGUGGCCCAGCGCGCCCGUGACGGAACGACGAGGCGUGGGGAGCGCGACCUCGCCCGCCCGGCCCGGCCCCCGCCCCUUGGCCUGCCGCUCCGCCCCCGCGGGGCGUCCCGGGCCGCUAGUCUCCUCGGCGCUGGCUGCCCGCGGCCCGGGGUCGCCCAGCAGAAACCAAGCAGCAACAGCCAUUGGAGAGAUGCUAAAGUUUUUCUUAACUGAUGUCAACAGUGACAAAGACUUUGAAAAAGUUGCCACUUCUGGCCCGUGCUGCUAUCAUCCUUCCAUUUACCCUUGGACAACCCAGACUGGACAUUAGUGCUUCCCUCUUUAUUCCUGUGAUCUUCCAGAUCAGCACUUGACUGUUUAUUUUCAAGACUCACAAACUCAGCCCUCAGAUCUUCACAUUCUGGUUCUCAGCUGCUCUUGAGGUUCCAACAUACUCCAGAGUAGUAUUUUGGCUGUGACAACUCGGACCAUGUUUACCAGAGGAUAUUCAGUUGAGGACUUUUACCAGGGAUCGAAUUCAGGACCUUGAGCUUUCGAGACAGGCACGGUGCCACUGAGCUAAGUCCCCAGCUCAAUAAUGUUAAUGUUUUAAUAAGAGAUAAUGACUCAGUAUGAAGAAAUAACUAAGAAGAAAGU
rnacentral:lncRNA from 1 species